rnacentral:lncRNA from 1 species
GUUUGGGGAACAUGAGGGGUGGGGUGAACUGUUGUUGUUUUAGGUUUCAGUCAGACAGACAUCCCUGUGCCUCAGUUCCCAGAAGCACAGCAGGCCUCUAGGAGCAUCCGUGGGAACGGCGCAGUCCUGACAUCACCAACUUCUCCUGCUCAGGCUCAUCCCAUUUGCAGAGGUCAAAAGGGUGGGGUUUGAGAUGGGGGAAGGAAUGAGAAAGUAGAAUCAAUGGAUGUCAUUGCGGUGCUGCUGUUGACCAGCUUUUUGGUGCUUAUGUCAGUGUUUGUUUUAUUGUUUUAAGUUGGCAAGUCUGUACAUAUGUUUAUUUGGGGUGAAGGUAACGGGGGUGGAAAAAAACAAGCCAUUAUUAUUGCUAAUCUGUUCUUGCAUAUAGUUCCUUAGUAUCUAAUACCAAAUUUCAAAUGUAGGCUCCAGUGACAAAGAAUGGGAAUAGAAGUGAAUCUUAGAUUUUUAAAAAGUAUUAGACAUUAUGCUGUGUUAGUUCCCAAUUCUUAGAACUAUUAUUUUUGUCACUCUUUUCCUUCCCCCUACUUUUUCUAUGUAUGUAUUAGUUUAAGGAAAUGUGCAUUCAUGGUCAGUCCUAUCUAAGGGACUAAUGAAUAUUAACUCUUGCAAAACAAAAUACCCAGUGUUUAUAUGGGCAUACAAAUGCUACCCUAUUUUAAAUGUAGGUGGCGUAUGUGUUCGUGUUUUUUUGUAUUCAGAGCCAUUGGGCAAUAAGCAGUCCAGAACAUUGAAAUCUCAAGCAGGUAAAGCACCUAACACCCUUAGUUUCUAGAAUUACUCUAAAGGCUUUAUAGUGAUGUGUCUUCCAUGGUUCUUUGGGUAGUCUCUGAAUUUGGAAUUUGUAGACUCCCUAGUUAAAAUUGAAAUCAUGUGUUUAUUUAUAGCUCAUAGGAAUACAUAUGGAAGGAAAAUAGCAGAAGAGAACAGGGCUCUUGUAAGAUAACGACUACCGACAGAGAGAUAAACGGGUAGGUGGCAGCAGAGAAAGGAACCCUUCAGAGUGGCUGUUGACAUUAACCCUGCACAGGAGAAGAAAUUGCAUGUGACAUAUGAAAGUGGAGCACGGAAGGGCAGAGAUGAAAGCUGCAUUUAGGAUGGCUGCCCCUUUACGAAGAAAGGUUCUCUUGAAAUAACCAGUGAUAUUCUGGAUGAAGACAGAUUGUGUGGAGUUUGCUUUUUAAAGUGGAAGAAUAACACAGAAUAAGAAAUCAGUAGUUCUACCUUGCUGGAUUCAGUGUGAUUUCUUUUUCUAAAAUAAAAGCACUGGAUGGAAAUGAAA